UACGUAGGGGGCGAGCGUUGUCCGGAUUUAUUGGGCGUAAAGAGCGUGUAGGCGGCCAGGUAGGUCCGUUGUGAAAACUCGAGGCUCAACCUCGAGACGUCGAUGGAAACCAUCUGGCUAGAGUCCGGAAGAGGAGAGUGGAAUUCCUGGUGUAGCGGUGAAAUGCGCAGAUAUCAGGAGGAACACCGAUGGCGAAGGCAGCUCGCUGGGACGUGACUGACGCUGAGGAGCGAAAGCGUGGGGAGCAAACGGG
rnacentral:rRNA from 1 species